rnacentral:rRNA from 1 species
GACGAACGCUGGCGGCGUGCUUAACACAUGCAAGUCGAACGGAAGGGCCUCUUUCGGGGGGUACUCGAGUGGCGAACGGGUGAGUAACACGUGAGUAACCUGCCCUUGACUUUGGGAUAACUUCAGGAAACUGGGGCUAAUACCGGAUAGGAGCUCCUGCUGCAUGGUGGGGGUUGGAAAGUUUCGGCGGUUGGGGAUGGACUCGCGGCUUAUCAGCUUGUUGGUGGGGUAGUGGCUUACCAAGGCUUUGACGGGUAGCCGGCCUGAGAGGGUGACCGGCCACAUUGGGACUGAGAUACGGCCCAGACUCCUACGGGAGGCAGCAGUGGGGAAUAUUGCACAAUGGGUGGAAGCCUGAUGCAGCAACGCCGUGUGCGGGAUGACGGCCUUCGGGUUGUAAACCGCUUUCGCUCAUGACGAAGCUUUGUGUGACGGUAGUGGGUAAAGAAGCACCGGCUAACUACGUG